UACAGAGGUCCCAAGCGUUGUUCGGAUUUACUGGGCGUAAAGGGCGCGUAGGCGGUAGCACAAGUCAGUUGUGAAAUCUCCGGGCUUAACUCGGAAAGGUCAACUGAUACUGUGCGACUAGAGUGCAGAAGGGGCAACUGGAAUUCUCGGUGUAGCGGUGAAAUGCGUAGAUAUCGAGAGGAACACCUGCGGCGAAGGCGGGUUGCUGGGCUGACACUGACGCUGAGGCGCGAAAGCCAGGGGAGCGAACGGG
rnacentral:rRNA from 1 species